CCUUCUUCUCCCUUCCCCCAAGUCUUCCUCACUAGAUUGGCAAGGCUUUGAGGUUAGAUCAGCGCCUAUCCUACCCUCCAUUCUAUCUCUUUGCCUUUAGCACUGCACUUACACAUAGUAAGUACUUAAGAAAUGUGCUUAAUUACCUAAUAAUUGAAUACACUGACUCAUUCAACCCCCAUAACAACCCUGUGAGGUAGGUAUUUCAUCAGACAAGGGGAAGCUGAGAGUCUGGGCAAGUGGUUUGCCCAAAGAACAGGGCAAGGGGAGGAGUCAGGUCUUGACGUCAAGUCCGGUGCUAAGUCCGGAGCCCGGAUUUUUCCGCUCCCGAGCCUUGGCUCAUUAGAGAAAGGGCCAGGAACCGAGCGGACUUUGAGCCCUGGUCAUCCACGUGGACCAGAGGAGACAGGGGCUCACUUACAGAGACAGAGUUACGCCUCCGCUGAUCUCACGAGUAAAAAUCAUAAUCUGCUGCAUAUGCAUGAGGGGACCAUGGGUCCGUGAUUCUGGACUGCCCAGAAUGCGCCUGACUAAAAAUUCUUCUGGCUUGAAGACUUUAGAGCCUCCAGAGUUCCGCACACGUACGCAAAAACUCCUCAAAAGGUCAUUUGGGGUGGAUAUUUGGGGGAUAUCGGGCAAGGGCGUCCUCAAUUUGGAUCUUAUGAUCAGGCAUCUUUUAUAGACAGCCAAAUCCCAGAAGGGGUCCUCGGCCGGCUGGACUAGAAGACGAAGGGGGCGUCUCCUCUGCUUCCUGAGACGUCUGUGGCGAGCUGAGGUGGAAGCGGGCUGCGACCGCGCAGGCGACAGUGGCGGCGGCGGCUAAUGGCAGGGCUCUCAGGGAACUGGUGUGUUGGGGACAGCUUCUGUUUGCCCUGCCUGACAAGGUCCAACCAUCCCCUCAGCCUUCUGGACAGCAACACCAAAGCCAGGACCAAAAAAAGUUCCAGCUUAAGUGCUAAUGCCAAGUGUUAGAUCGUGUUUAUUUGUUUUAAAUAAGAGACUAAUUAAUGUCAAGCAAAUGUGUUAAAAGAUUCAGAGCCCUUGCUGAUUUCCAGUGACCAUAUCAAUUCUGUAUCUGAAACUGGUCUUGUUAUAAUUCCUGCCAAAAAUAAUUUAACCUUUUAUGUGUAAUAUGUUGUUUUGAGGAGGAAUCUGGAAGUCUGGGUUUGGCCACCUUUUUUGUUGUUGUUCUCGAAUAUUUGAAACAUUGAAACAUAUGCCUUCCA